rnacentral:rRNA from 1 species
AUUGAACGCUGGCGGCAUGCUUUACACAUGCAAGUCGAACGGUAACAGGCCGCAAGGUGCUGACGAGUGGCGAACGGGUGAGUAGUGCAUCGGAACGUGCCCAGUCGUGGGGGAUAACGCAGCGAAAGCUGCACUAAUACCGCAUACGAUCUAUGGAUGAAAGCGGGGGACCGUAAGGCCUCGCGCGAUUGGAGCGGCCGAUGUCAGAUUAGGUAGUUGGUGGGGUAAAGGCUCACCAAGCCAACGAUCUGUAGCUGGUCUGAGAGGACGACCAGCCACACUGGGACUGAGACACGGCCCAGACUCCUACGGGAGGCAGCAGUGGGGAAUUUUGGACAAUGGGCGCAAGCCUGAUCCAGCAAUGCCGCGUGCAGGAAGAAGGCCUUCGGGUUGUAAACUGCUUUCGUACGGAACGAAACGGCUCUGGUUAAUACCUGGGGCUAAUGACGGUACCGUAAGAAUAAGCACCGGCUAACUACGUGCCAGCCGCCGCAGUAAUAC